GGAUCCAGACCUUGAUUAUGGCUCAGGACGAACGCUGGCGGCGUGCCUAACACAUGCAAGUCGAACGGAACUUUUUUAAUUGACUUCUUCGGAAUGAUUUUGAUUAAGUUUAGUGGCGGACGGGUGAGUAACGCGUGAGUAACCUGCCUCUAAGAGGGGAAUAACAUUCUGAAAGGAAUGCUAAUACCGCAUAAUAUAUAUUUAUCGCAUGGUAGAUAUAUCAAAGAUUUAUCGCUUAGAGAUGGACUCGCGUCCGAUUAGUUAGUUGGUGAGGUAACGGCUCACCAAGACCGCGAUCGGUAGCCGGACUGAGAGGUUGAACGGCCACAUUGGGACUGAGACACGGCCCAGACUCCUACGGGAGGCAGCAGUGGGGGAUAUUGCGCAAUGGGGGAAACCCUGACGCAGCAACGCCGCGUGAAGGAUGAAGGUCUUCGGAUUGUAAACUUCUUUUAUUAAGGACGAAGAAAGUGACGGUACUUAAUGAAUAAGCUCCGGCUAACUAGGUGCCAGCAGCCGCGGUAAUACGUAGGGAGCAAGCGUUGUCCGGAUUUACUGGGUGUAAAGGGUGCGUAGGCGGCUUUGCAAGUCAGAUGUGAAAUCCAUGGGCUCAACCCAUAGCCUGCAUUUGAAACUGCAGAGCUUGAGUGAAGUAGAGGCAGGCGGAAUUCCCCGUGUAGCGGUGAAAUGCGUAGAGAUGGGGGGGAACACCAGUGGCGAAGGCGGCCUGCUGGGCUUUAACUGACGCUGAGGCACGAAAGCGUGGGUAGCAAACAGGAUUAGAUACCCUGGUAGUCCACGCUGUAAACGAUGAUUACUAGGUGUGGGGGGUCUGACCCCUUCCGUGCCGGAGUUAACACAAUAAGUAAUCCACCUGGGGAGUACGGCCGCAAGGUUGCAACUCA
rnacentral:rRNA from 1 species